rnacentral:misc_RNA from 1 species
GGAAUAAAAGUCGUAACAAGGUUUCCGUAGGUGAACCUGCGGAAGGAUCAUUAUUGUAUAACAGAGGUGCGAGGGCUGUCGCUGACCCGAAAGGUCGUGCACGCCCGAGUGCCCUCACACACAUCCAUCUCACCCCUAUGUGCACCACCGCGUGGGUCCCCCUUUGGCUUGUUCGGAGGGGGGCUUACGUUUUCACACAAACUUUGUAUGCAGUGUAGAAUGUAUUUUUUGUUUUUGCGAUCACGCAAUCAAUACAACUUUCAACAACGGAUCUCUUGGCUCUC